GAUGAACGCUGGCGGCGUGCCUAAUACAUGCAAGUCGAGCGAACAGACGAGGAGCUUGCUCCUCUGACGUUAGCGGCGGACGGGUGAGUAACACGUGGAUAACCUACCUAUAAGACUGGGAUAACUUCGGGAAACCGGAGCUAAUACCGGAUAAUAUAUUGAACCGCAUGGUUCAAUAGUGAAAGACGGUUUUGCUGUCACUUAUAGAUGGAUCCGCGCCGCAUUAGCUAGUUGGUAAGGUAACGGCUUACCAAGGCAACGAUGCGUAGCCGACCUGGGAGGGUGAUCGGCCACACGGGACUGAGAUACGGCCCAGACUCCUACGGGAGGCAGCAGUGGGGAAUAUUGCACAAUGGGCGGAAGCCUGAUGCAGCAACGCCGCGUGCGGGAUGACGGCCUUCGGGUUGUAAACCGCUUUCGCCUGUGACGAAGCGUGAGUGACGGUAAUGGGUAAAGAAGCACCGGCUAACUACGUG
rnacentral:rRNA from 1 species